UAUGAGUUAGCUUUACCUCCAUACUUUGCCGUUGUUCAUCUAGUUUUUCAUGUAUCCAUGCUGCAGAAGUAUAUUCCUAACUUAUACCAUGUGCUAACAUGGGACUCAGUCCAGUUAGAUGAGCAAUUAGGUUUUGUAGAGGAGCCCAUGCUUAUUUUGGCUAGUGAUGUGAGGCCGCUGUGUUCUAGAGAGAUAUUUGUAGCUAAGGUUCAAUGGAGGUACUGCGCAUUAGAGGAGGACACUUAGGAGUCAGAGGGAAAGAUACGAGCCCAAUAUCCUCACCUAUUGGAGACUUUAGGUAUUUCCUUAUCUUUAACUUUCAGGGAUGAAAGUUUCUUAGUAGUGGAUGACGUAAUGACCCUUCAGGACAUUAGCCGUAUUCUUGCUUAUCUUCACCGAUAGAACUUCUCCAUAGCCAUCCCAAGUCAUUAGUGACUUACUGGAAUUGAUAGUUUGGUUACCUAAUGGGUCAUUUGGUUUUUAGAACCACUUUUCCAAUUUGAAGUCUUCAUUGAUUCAAAAUGGCUGCCAAGCAAAAACUUUAUUAAAAUAAUUUUUGAUUCAAAUUUUGACAACACCAGCAGCUAUGUAAUAUCAAUUUUAGGGUAGGUAGACCCUUGGUUCGGAUCCCAUAGUACCCGAGCUAAUUUCGACCUAUUAGUCAAAAAGAUAAAAAUUAAAAUAUAUGAGUGUGGGACCCAAAAGUGGCCUAACUGACCUCAAAUGGAAAAUCCAACUUCACCAAUGCAUCCGAAAUAUUUAAUUUAGUGGGUUUACAUAGUUCAUUUGCAAAAAACAAAGUCCGAAUGAGUUUGGUAGGUCAAAAACAAGUUUUGACCCUGCGGGCUAAUUUAAACUCGUAUAAAAAGGCCCUUUGGCUGAUUUUUGCGACAUUUUCAGCAUUUUGAAAACCCUAGCAGCCAUACAUGCUUUUUUACAAAAAAAUAUGAGUCUUGUGGGUUGAUUAGAAGCUUAGCAAAUUGUGUAAUCCAAUUUUUUUCUACAAAUCUAAGGUAAGAUUCUUUCAAAUUUGAUAUUAAUUUCUUGAUUACUAGACGAAAAAACCCUAAGUCUUUGAGGCUAAAUUGUAUCCACAAAUGUGAUUGCUUUACUCAAAUUUCUUGAGGGUUUUAGCUCCCUAAUGAUAUUUAGACUAUGUGUUGGUCUCGGAAACUCAUUUUCCAAAGGUGGACCCACUUGGGGUUUGAUGUCAUUUUGAAACCCAUGGCACCAUGGUGCUAUAAUGGGCAUUGUCAUUCUUGUUGUAAUGAUUAGAUUUUAUUGUUAAUAUCAUUGCUUGUGGAAGAAAAAGCUUCUCGAAAAGGAAAGGAAAAGCUCGUUGGCUCCUGAGUUGCUUAGAUUCAAGGUAGGUUAGGCUUACCUAUAGUCUAGAGUAAGCUUGUUUGUAAUAUAAUCAUUGAUACCUUGAGAGAUCAGGUGGAGAAUUUAGAUGAUAGUUGAUUAAAUGGUCAACUUGGGAUUUAUUAAUUGCUAUAGGCCAUGGAUUUAUAAGGUAUGAUAUUUGACCCUUAGUCUAGGACCUUGGUUAGUUUAAUUGUGGUCUCAUGACUAGGGUGAGAAUACUAUAGUUGAUCCAAGUAGACAUGAAUGUUAUACUUCUCUAUCCUUAGGUGUGUAUUAACCUAUAUAAUGCCUAGACAGGAGAUGACCUUGGUGUUGGGUUAACUUAGAAAGGAUUCUUGAAGAGACUUUCCCUAUAGACCUAUAAAGGAUUAGUAAUCCUUUAUGGUGAGGUAUGGAUGACUUAGCCUAAUUCCAUGUAGAAGCUAUACAUGUGUUACUAAGCUUGGUAUUCUCGGGAUUUAAAAGUGGGACUUGACCCACCUUAAGCUUGAACUAAGUAAAUGCUUAGAAACCUAGAUACAUGGUGAUUGUCCAAGCUAUAUAUGUGUGUGUGUGUGUGUGUAGAAGUUGUGAUGGCUGCACUCGAUCAUUGGAUUUUUUUGUGAUCAUGACUUGAAUACCCUUGUUAAGUGAUUAUUGUGCAUGUUUGGUAAAUACUCAUGCUCUUGUUGAUGCUCACAUUACAUGUGAAGCUUAUUAGUAAGGUAAAAUGGCAAGUGUUUCCCACAUCCCUACUUAUUUAUAUAUUGUGAGCUUUUUUGUAUGCUUAUUAGUUUGGCUAUUGAUGUGGAUGUAUGUUGGUGUAUUUGGAGAAAUAUGUGAUAUUAUGAUGAUGCCCGGUGAAUCUAGAGGAAUAUGUGAUAGUAUGAUGAUGCUCGCUUCGAGUUCGGAGGAAUAUGUGAUAUUAUAAUGAUGCCCAGUUUGAGUCCAGAGGAAUAAGUAAUAUUAUGAUGAUGCAUGGUCAAUCCGGAGGAAUAUGCAAUAUUAUUAUGAUGCCCGAUUCGAAUCUAGAGGAAUGUGUGAUAUUAUGAUGAUGCACAAUGAAUUCGGAGGAAUAUAUUGAUAUUGUGAUGAUGCCCGGUGAAUCCGUAAGAGUGGUAUGGGACGCUGUGAUGAGUUCUUUGUUGUGCUCUCUUUCGUGUACUUCUCAGCGGUAUGGGAGGUCGUGACCCGAGUUUUAGCUGCCGUCAUUGAGUUGAGAUUAUGCCGUGUUGAUCAUCAAGAUAUAGGGAAAGCUCUUGGAGUUCAAGUUACCCUCUUUUCCUUCUAUCUUUACUUGUCUUUUGUAUUCGAGACAAUUGUAUAAGACUAUUUAAGUUGCCAGACUUUGAAUUGUAAUUUCUGUUGUCAGAUUUAGAGUUGCUCUUCUACUUAUACUAUCAGGUCAUGGAAUUGGCAUU